rnacentral:rRNA from 1 species
AGCAGCCGCGGUAAUUCCAGCUCCAAUAGCGUAUAUUAAAGUUGUUGCAGUUAAAAAGCUCGUAGUUGAAUUUCGGGAUCAGCAGGUCGGUCGUGCCAAUGGUAUGCACUGGCCUUGCUGAUUCCUCCCUCUUGAUGAGCCGUAAUGCCAUUAAUUUGGUGUUGCGGGGAAUCAGGACUGUUACUUUGAAAAAAUUAGAGUGUUUAAAGCAGGCUCACGCUUGAAUACAUUAGCAUGGAAUAACGAAAUAGGACGUUUGAUUCUAUUUUGUUGGUUUCUAGGAUCGACGUAAUGAUUAAUAGGGAUAGUUGGGGGCAUUAGUAUUCAAUUGUCAGAGGUGAAAUUCUUGGAUUUAUUGAAGACUAACUACUGCGAAAGCAUUUGCCAAGGAUGUUUUCAUUAAUCAAGAACGAAAGUUAGGGGAUCGAAGACGAUCAGAUACCGUCGUAGUCUUAACCAAUAAACUAUGCCGACUAGGGAUCGGAUGAUAGUUUAAUUUUUUUAAUGUACUAC